AGGACGAACGCUGGCGGCGUGCCUAACACAUGCAAGUCGAACGGAGUUCAUUGGAUUGAGGCUUCGGCCAAAUGAAUUUGAACUUAGUGGCGAACGGGUGAGUAACGCGUGAGCAACCUGCCUUUCAGAGGGGGACAACAGUUGGAAACGACUGCUAAUACCGCAUAACACAUCGAGGAGGCAUCUCCUUGAUGUCAAAGAUUUAUCGCUGAAAGAUGGGCUCGCGUCUGAUUAGAUAGUUGGUGAGGUAACGGCUCACCAAGUCGACGAUCAGUAGCCGAACUGAGAGGUUGAUCGGCCACAUUGGGACUGAGACACGGCCCAGACUCCUACGGGAGGCAGCAGUGGGGGAUAUUGCGCAAUGGGGGAAACCCUGACGCAGCAACGCCGCGUGAAGGAAGAAGGUUUUCGGAUUGUAAACCUCUGUUUUUAGUGAAGAAAAAAUGACGGUAGCUAAAGAGGAAGCCACGGCUAACUACGUG
rnacentral:rRNA from 1 species